rnacentral:rRNA from 1 species
GCUUGACUGCGAGACCUACAAGUCGAGCAGGGUCGAAAGACGGACUUAGUGAUCCGGUGGUUCCGCAUGGAAGGGCCAUCGCUCAACGGAUAAAAGCUACCCCGGGGAUAACAGGCUUAUCUCCCCCAAGAGUUCACAUCGACGGGGAGGUUUGGCACCUCGAUGUCGGCUCAUCGCAUCCUGGGGCUGUAGUCGGUCCCAAGGGUUGGGCUGUUCGCCCAUUAAAGCGGUACGCGAGCUGGGUUCAGAACGUCGUGAGACAGUUCGGUCCCUAUCCGUCGUGGGCGUAGGAAAUUUGAGAGGAGCUGUCCUUAGUACGAGAGGACCGGGAUGGACAUACCUCUGGUGUACCAGUUGUCGUGCCAACGGCAUAGCUGGGUAGCUAUGUAUGGACGGGAUAAGUGCUGAAAGCAUCUAAGCAUGAAGCCCCCCUCAAGAUGAGAUUUCCCAACUUCGGUUAUAAGAUCCCUCGAAGAUGACGAGGUUAAUAGGUUCGAGGUGGAAGCGUGGUGACACGUGGAGCUGACGAAUACUAAUCGAUCGAAGACUUAAUCAA